GUAAUUAUUUUAAUUAAUGGGUGAAUUAGCCCAAAAUCAUAUAAGAAGUAGCAAAUUAGGCAAAUGCCUAUGACACAAAAGUUGUGGGGAUCCAACAUAGAGAAAAUGUCAAAACUGACCUUAUGUCUAUAAAAAAGAGAUCACGACAAAACCGGUGAUAAUAGGUCAUAAGCUAAAUGAAAUAAAAAGUAAUUAGGGGAAAAGCAAUGGAUCUCUCUCUCUCUUUCUUCCCUCUAUUAUUUUUCAGAGAGAGGGAAUUGCGUUAUUUCCUAUGCUUGAUCAAUCUGGUGAGGUUUUCACCCUGUAUAUCAGAUUGGUUCUGGGUUUGAUGUUCUGAAGCGUUGUUUUUUAUUUCGUCUGUGCUGAAUCAAGCUAUUGUCGAAGCCAGAUUCUCUCUGUCGCGUUUUCCUGUCUCCGGUAUGUUUUCGGUGGAAUAACGAUUAGACCGUCUGGCAACGGCUUACCUUUGGGUGUAGCGUCAACUCUCAACUGCUAACGGGGUUUGUCUAUAAAAGGAAGCCAACAAGCAAACUCUCACCAUAAAAAGCUGUCUAGUUAACAAAACCAAUACCACUCCUCCGUUUCUGUGUAUUGAUUGUAGACUUUGUAGUUACAGAAUCUUGUUUCCUAAUAUUUUAUUAAUACAAGUCAGUAACUAAAAUA